rnacentral:rRNA from 1 species
CGCAGCCGCGGUAAUUCCAGCUCCAAUAGCGUAUAUUAAAGUUGUUGCUGUUAAAAAGCUCGUAGUUGAAUUUCGGGGUUCUACCGUCGGUCGGGCUACCAAGUCUGUACUGGUGUGUAGAAUUCCUACCUUCUGGGGAACUAUCAUGUUAUUAAUUUAGCGUGGUGGGAAACCAGGACCUUUACCUUGAAAAAAUUAGAGUGUUCAAAGCAGGCUUAUGUCUGAAUACAUUAGCAUGGAAUAAUAGAAUAGGACGGUGGUCCUGUUUUGUUGGUUUCUGAAUCACCGUAAUGAUUAAUAGGGAUAGUUGGGGGCAUUAGUAUUCAAUUGUCAGAGGUGAAAUUCUUGGAUUUAUUGAAGACUAACUUCUGCGAAAGCAUUUGCCAAGGAUGUUUUCAUUAAUCAAGAACGAAAGUUAGGGGAUCGAAGACGAUCAGAUACCGUCGUAGUCUUAACCAUAAACUAUGCCGACUAGGGAUCGGACGAUGUUAAAUUUUAUUGACUCGUUCGGCGCCUUACG